CACGCACAACUUCCUUUCCUUUUGGAUAUGGAAAACAGGGAAGAGAGGGUAGUGUGACAUUAGCACUAAUUUCUAGCAGAUUUUUAACUGCCCCUGAUGCUCAUUCAUCUUUGCAGUGUGGGUUUUCAUGCUGACAAAUCCUCUGCUUUGCCUUCUGCUCACAGUCAGCUGGGCCCUUUAUUGAACAGAUUUAUCUGCUACAAGGCUACGCAGAAGGAUGGAAAGGAGGAACACAGGGGGGAAAAAAAAUAGAUUCAAGGCAUAGAGAAGGUAGCUGGUUUAUUUGUAUGACAUGUAGCUUUUUUAGGAUGUUUUGUUCUUUAUAUGGCGUUAAUUUCAAAGAGAAGCCUGUGAACUUUGUGUUCCCCUUUUGGGGCUGGUUCUGGGGUAAGGGGGAAACACGAGGCCUAAGCACCUCUGGCUUAUCUGUCCAAGGAUCUGCCUCAGUUGUGGCUCCCAUCCUUCUGAAGGACUCUUCAGCGCAACCCGUCCGAGCCUGGCGUUCGCUACAGGCCUCCGCGUGGUGGGAGAUGAGUCUAGGAGGAAAUACCUUCAAUCCACAGACGAGGCAGAAAGGACUCAGUACAAGGAGGACUGGACUCAGAUGAAGUGAAGGAAACUGGAAUUCCUUCUU
rnacentral:lncRNA from 1 species